rnacentral:rRNA from 1 species
GUAGUCAUAUGCUUGUCUCAAAGAUUAAGCCAUGCAUGUCUAAGUACACGCCUUUACACGGCAAAACUGCGAAUGGCUCAUUAAAUCAGUUAUGGUUCCUUAGAUCGUACAAUCCUACUUGGAUAACUGUGGCAAUUCUAGAGCUAAUACAUGCAACACAGCUCCGACCUAGCGGGAAGAGCGCUUUUGUUAGCACAAAACCAAUCCGGUCCUAGCGGCCGGUUAAAAAUGGUGACUCUGAACAACUUUGUGCCGAUCGUAUGCCCUUGCGGCGACGACGCAUCUUUCAAAUGUCUGCCCUAUCAACUGUCGAUGGUACGUGCUAUGCCUACCAUGGUGAUAACGGGUAACGGGGAAUCAGGGUUCGAUUCCGGAGAGGGAGCAUGAGAUACGGCUACCACAUCCAAGGAAGGCAGCAGGCGCGCAAAUUACCCACUCCCGACACGGGGAGGUAGUGACGAAAAAUAACAAUACGGGACUCUUUCGAGGCCCCGUAAUUGGAAUGAGUACACUUUAAAUCCUUUAACGAGGAUCAAUUGGAGGGCAAGUCUGGUG